GAUUUCAGUUGAAAAUGUCCUUAACAUAAAAGUUGUAGAACUGAUUAAGUUCUACAACUUUUAUUUUGGUCAUUUGUUCAUCUGAUAAAGCGACGCUAACAUUGUUCACAAAUUUUACAUUCUCUCAUGUAGUUUCAUAGACUAUACGAGAGAGAUGUAUAUUUAUGAAGAAUAUUACCAUCACUUUGUCGGAUAAACAAAUGUCUAAAAUAAAAGUUAUAGAUCAUGAUGAGUUAUACGACUUUUAUGUUCAUGACUUUUUCAACUAAAACC
rnacentral:pre_miRNA from 1 species